AGUUUAUGAGCUUGUUAAAGCAUGUACCUUGAAAGUACAAGAAAGGGCAAUUCCUAUAAACUU
rnacentral:tRNA from 1 species